rnacentral:rRNA from 1 species
UUAAAUUGAAGAGUUUGAUCAUGGCUCAGAUUGAACGCUGGCGGCAGGCCUAACACAUGCAAGUCGAGCGGAAACGAGUUAUCAGAACCUUCGGGGAACGAUA